rnacentral:lncRNA from 1 species
GUAUCUUUGAUACUGGGCAGGAUUCAUCUUUUACCUGGGCUCACAAUGUUCCCUGGUUUGGGCCUUCUUGCUUCAAUGGUUUGCUGUCAGGAACAGUUUGUAUUUUAAGGUUUCACUUUAUUUUGAACUAUUUUGUUGAAGAGAAAUGGAGCACGAAAUAAAACAGGGUUGGUGCUAGCUGCUCGAAACUUCACACACUCAAUCAGUUCUCUGUGGGCACUCUCUGG